GGGAAGUUAUGUUAUUCUCUUUAUAUCAACACAGAAAAAGUAUUGUCUACUCAUUUCCAGCAAUAUGCUUGUUUUUUUUUUCCUUUUAUUGAUGAUUUAUUAUAUGCUUGUUGCAAAUGUUUAUGUAUAAUAUGUAAUGUAUUAUGUAUAUACAUUAUAUAUACACCAUAAUUACUUAAUUUUAGUUUGAUUAAUGUUUUUUUUCUUUUUGUACAAAAUUGAUCUUAUACAUAUAUAUAUAUAUAUAUAUAUAUACACCUCUAUAUAAAUAGAUUAGAUUAGAAAUCUAAAAUCAUAUAUAUGUAAAACAGAGAUGCUUAAAUAAACUAUACGAUCUACA
rnacentral:lncRNA from 1 species